rnacentral:lncRNA from 1 species
AAAAAUAAAACAGAUGUCAGCCUGUGUAUGAAGAAUUCAUCCACAAGAUUUGCUCACUCUUCAAUUAUUUCCCGAGCAAAACCAAGAAUCUUCUUGGGCUAAGCCCCAAUUUGGGGUUCACCUGCCUUGCAGCAACAUGGCACCAAACAUGGGGCAGAAGAGAGAAAACGACAGCAUGAGAGACGGAGAAAGAAAUGGCAGUUGGCAAGGUGGUAAUGAGAGACAGCAGUUGGCAAGACAGUGAGAGACAGCAAGAGAUGGCAAGUGACAGUUAUUGUUAAGAUGACAAAUGGAGAGAUGGCAAGAAAUAGAGAAGCAGUCAGUGAUGGAGGCUGCAAGAGUUGUAACACUAACCAAAGGCUCUUUUUAGAAUCAUCAUUUUCCCUGGCAGGUGGUACAGCCAAGCAGACAGGCAAGUGGCCAUACUGCUGCUGCCUCAUGUAGGAUCCGGCAGGCUGGUGGGUUAUCAGUCCUCACGUGGGACCCUCCCACCAUGGCAGCUGAGCACAUCCAAGCUGGGGGAUCCUGAAGAGACCUUCACCUGGGUGCCACGUGGAAGAUUGGCCAGCACCAUUUUGACUCCUGUGGAUGGUUCCAGGUAAAGACAAUCCUUGCACAAGGCUUCCAACUC